GACGAACGCUGGCGGCGUGCUUAACACAUGCAAGUCGAACGGGCCUGUCUUCUUUUUUGGGGGUGGGUUGAGUGGCGAACGGGUGAGUAUCACGUGAGUAACCUGCCCUUCGGUCCUGGAUAACCGCUUGAAAGGGCGGCUAAUACGGGGUGGUCCGGUUGGUCCGCAUGGGCUGGUCGGGAUAGAUUCACUGUUUUUGGUGUUUCGGCGGGGGAUGGGCUCGCGGCCUAUCAGCUUGUUGGUGGGGUGAUGGCCUACCAAGGCGGUGACGGGUAGCCGGCCUGGGGGGGUGGGCGGCCACACUGGGACUGAGGUACGGCCCAGACUCCUGCGGGAGGCAGCAGUGGGGGGUAUUGCACGAUGGGCGGAAGCCGGAUGCAGCGACGUCGCGUGAGGGAGGGAGGCCUUCGGGUUGUGAACCUCUGUUUCCGGUGGUGAAGGCCCUGUCCGUGUGGUGGGGUUGACGGUAGCCGGGGAUGAAGCGCCAGCUAACUACGUG
rnacentral:rRNA from 1 species